rnacentral:rRNA from 1 species
UACGGAGGAUCCAAGCGUUAUCCGGAAUCAUUGGGUUUAAAGGGUCCGUAGGCGGUUUUGUAAGUCAGUGGUGAAAGCCCAUCGCUCAACGGUGGAACGGCCAUUGAUACUGCAAGACUUGAAUUAUUGGGAAGUAACUAGAAUAUGUAGUGUAGCGGUGAAAUGCUUAGAGAUUACAUGGAAUACCAAUUGCGAAGGCAGGUUACUACCAAUAUAUUGACGCUGAUGGACGAAAGCGUGGGGAGCGAACAGGAUUAGAUACCCUGGUAGUCCACGCCGUAAACGAUGGAUACUAGCUGUUCGGAGCAAUCUGAGUGGCUAAGCGAAAGUGAUAAGUAUCCCACCUGGGGAGUACGUUCGCAAGAAUGAA